rnacentral:rRNA from 1 species
GUGCCAGCAGCCGCGGUAAUACGAAGGGUGCAAGCGUUACUCGGAAUUACUGGGCGUAAAGCGUGCGUAGGUGGUUCGUUAAGUCUGAUGUGAAAGCCCUGGGCUCAACCUGGGAAUUGCAUUGGAUACUGGCGGGCUAGAGUACGGUAGAGGGUGGCGGAAUUCCUGGUGUAGCAGUGAAAUGCGUAGAUAUCAGGAGGAACAUCCGUGGCGAAGGCGGCCACCUGGACCAGUACUGACACUGAGGCACGAAAGCGUGGGGAGCAAACAGGAUUAGAUACCCCCGUAGUCC